rnacentral:piRNA from 1 species
UAACGUCUUAACGAGUGCGUGUUGCUA